AGAGUGAACGCUGGCGGUAGGCCUAACACAUGCAAGUCGAACGGCAGCACAGUGGUAGCAAUACCAUGGGUGGCGAGUGGCGGACGGGUGAGGAAUACAUCGGAAUCUACCUUUUCGUGGGGGAUAACGUAGGGAAACUUACGCUAAUACCGCAUACGCCCUUCGGGGGAAAGCCGGGGAUCGCAAGACCUGGCGCGGAUAGAUGAGCCGAUGUCGGAUUAGCUAGUUGGUGAGGUAAUGGCUCACCAAGGCGACGAUCCGUAGCGGGUCUGAGAGGAUGAUCAGCCACACUGGAACUGAGACACGGUCCAGACUCCGUACGGGA
rnacentral:rRNA from 1 species